rnacentral:rRNA from 1 species
UGGGGAAUAUUGGACAAUGGGCGAAAGCCUGAUCCAGCCAUGCCGCGUGUGUGAAGAAGGUCUUCGGAUUGUAAAGCACUUUAAGUUGGGAGGAAGGGCAGUAAGCGAAUACCUUGCUGUUUUGACGUUACCGACAGAAUAAGCAUCGGCUAACUCUGUGCCAGCAGCCGCGGUAAUACAGAGGGUGCAAGCGUUAAUCGGAAUUACUGGGCGUAAAUCGCGCGUAGGUGGUUCGUUAAGUUGAAUGUGAAAGCCCCGGGCUCAACCAGAGAACUGCAUCCAAAAAUGGCAAGCUAGAAGAGGGGAGAGGGUGAUGGAAUUUCAUGUGUAGCGGUGAAAUGCGUAGAAAUAGGAAGGAAAACCAGUGGCGAAGGAGACCAACUGGGCUCAUACUGACACUGGGGUGCGAAAGCGUGGGGAGCAAACAGG